AACAAACGCUGGCGGCGUGCCUAAUACAUGCAAGUCGAACGGGGAAAGCUUUCGGGUGAGUACUAGUGGCGCACGGGUGAGGAACGCGUGGAUAAUCUGCCUUAGAGUGGGGGAUAACUAGUCGAAAGAUUAGCUAAUACCGCAUAAGACCACAGGAGCUGCGGCUCAAGGGGUCAAAGGUUUUUCGCUCUAAGAUGAGUCCGCGUAAGAUUAGCUAGUUGGGGAGGUAACGGCUCACCAAGGCGACGAUCUUUAACUGGUCUGAGAGGAUGAUCAGUCACACUGGAACUGAGACACAGUCCAGACUCCUACGGGAGGCAGCAGUAGGGAAUAUUGCACAAUGGAGGAAACUCUGAUGCGGCGACGCCGCGUGAGUGAUGAAGGCCUUCGGGUCGUAAAGCUCUGUCGCAGGGGAAUAACACAAUGAAUGUACCCUGUAAGAAAGGGUCGGCUAACUUCGUGCCAGCAGCCGCAGUAAUAC
rnacentral:rRNA from 1 species